UGAUCCGUAGCUCAUAGCAGGCCGCUGCCAGCGUGCCACCAGAACAAUCGAAAGCCGCUCUCGUCGACCUCACGCCCGAGACUGAACGGAGUCUUUUCUUUGCAAAUCUAAUGACCUGCAGCCUGCCGCGCCGUGUCGAUCCUUGAUCUUCCUGCCUUCGUAUUCUCCCAUGGCGAAUCCUGUGGCCUCGGAGGAGGCAACUCCGCCUCUGCGAAUUGUUCAAAUUGGAAGAGCUGGAGAUUACUUGAAGAUGUCUCUGUGUUGUGUAUGACCCAUCAAGGUCCAAUCAAGGGGUUUUAACCCUCAAGUGAUGUCGCACAAAUGCGGAAAAAGAGGAGAAGGAAGAACAAGAGAGGAAGAAGGAAGAAGAGGUUCUAGAGACACAGGAAGAAGAGAAGGGGAGGAGGAGGAGGAAGAAUAAGAUCUGGGAGGAAAAGAAAUUCUUAAUCAUUCAUUAAACCCUAAUCAUGAAAAUAGUUCCCUAUAUAUAGGGCCCAAAUACACAACUUGCAU